GACGAGGGGUCCUAGCGUUGUUCGGAAUCAUUGGGCGUAAAGCGGGUGUAGGCGGCCUUGUAAGUCAGAAGUGAAAGCUCCGAGCUUAACUCGGGAAGUGCUUUUGAUACUGCAAGGCUUGAAUGUGGGAGAGGAUGGUGGAAUUCCUGGUGUAGUGGUGAAAUGCGUAGAUAUCAGGAGGAACACCGAUGGCGAAGGCGGCCUGCUGGGCAGUUACUGACACUGAGGCGCGACAGCGUGGGGAGCAAACAGG
rnacentral:rRNA from 1 species